UAACGAAUCUUCCGCAAUGGGCGAAAGCCUGACGGAGCGACGCCGCGUGUAGGAGGAAGCCCUUCGGGGUGUAAACUACUUUUGGGAGGAAGAAACAAGGCGUGCAAAUAGCGCGCUGCGAUGAUCUACUCCAGAAUAAGCCUCGGCUAACUCUGUGCCAGCAGCCGCGGUAAUACAGAGGAGGCAAGCGUUGUUCGGAAUUACUGGGCUUAGAGCGGGUGUAGGUGGCUUGGUAAGUACCUUGUGAAAU
rnacentral:rRNA from 1 species